AAGAUAUAAACAAAAAAAAAAAAUAUUUGGUAAAACCCUCGCAGAUAUAUCUCUCUCAGCCGUUUGACGUCAAUGUAAAUUAGGAAGCGUCACACUUGGAGAGCCAUCAAAAUACCAAAAUAAAAAAAUAACAGACAUUUGUGAAUGGUAUUUGGACAAUAGGUGGGCGUUCGGAUGACGUUGGAGCAAUCAAAGACAUGCUAAAAAAUUUCAUAAUUUGGAGAGUGGGGCAUUGGUAUAAGAAGAAGAAUUAUACCAAGGCAUAUAAAUAUACCAUGCGAGUUGGGGCCUAGUUCUCUUUGGACAAAACCCGUUUCAGGAUAUUUGGAGUCGAUCUGGCAAUGACCGUCCUUCUGCCUGGCUGGCUGGUGGGCACAAUAACUCUGGAAGGCAUUAUUCGAUUUGGUCCAAACUUGGUACAUCAUAAUAUUAUUAUUAUCAAACUUAUAUCGAGUUCGGAGAUGGGCAAUAUAUGUAGGUCCUCUCCUUCUUGUACCUUCCACACAAAGAAACAACAUUUUCAAAAAAUAUUUUACUGCACAGAAAGAGAAAGGAUAUGCCGAUUUAGCUCCAACUUUGCAAAUCGUAAUAUUUGCAAUAGUUGUAGGUCAGAUGUGAAAAUGGACAAUAUCGGUUCACUCCAUCAAGUACCUGUCCCACAAAGGGUCAAAAUUUUGAAUAAAUAUAACUCCUAUAAAUUGUGCUGUAAGAGUCCGAUUGUCUUCAAAUUACACACAUCACAAUAUUUCUAUUAACCUAAAGUCUAAGGUAAAGAUGACACAUAUCGGUCCACUCCUUCUGGUACCUCCCCCAAGGGUCGAAAUCUUGAAUAUCCACGAAGCUCAUAAAACGCGAAUUUAAUAUCCGAUUCCAUUCAAACUUGGCAAAUCUCAAUAUUUCCAUCAACACAAGAUCUGUUAUAAAGAUGGUAGAGAUCCGAUUAUUCCUUCUGGUACCUCCCCCACAAAGGGUCAAGGUUUUGAAAAACCAAAAACGAUUAUAAAAUUCGAAAUAAGCUUCCGAUUCUCUUCAAAUUUCAUACAUUCCAUUAUUUCUACUAACACAAGAUCUGCUGUGAAGUUGGGUUAUAUCGGUCAACUCCUUCGGGUACCUCCCCCACAAUUGGUCAAAAUUUUGAAUAUCCUUAAAGCUCAUAAAACGCGAAAUUAACCUUUGAGUCCAUUCUGACUUGGCAAACCUCAAUAUUUUCAUCGACACAAUACCUGUUAUAAAGAUGGUGGAGAUCGGACCAUUCCUUCUGGUACCUCCCCCACAAAGGGUCAAAGUUUUGAAAAACCAAAAACGAUUAUAAAAUCCGAAAUAAGCAUCCGGUUCUCUUCAUAUUUCACACAUCCCAUUAUUUCUACUAACUCAAGAUCGGCUGUGAAGAUGGAAUAUAUCGGUCCACUCCUUUUGGUACCUCCCCCACAAAUGGUCAAAAUUUUGAAAAUUCAUGAAGCUCAUAAAACACGAUCUUAAUAUCCGAUUCCAUUCAAACUUGGUAAAUCUCAAUAUUUCGACCAACACAAGAUCUGGUAAAAAGAUGGUAGAGCUCCGACCAUUCCUUCUGGUACCUCCCCCACAAAGGGUCAAAUUUUUGAAUAGCAAAAACGAUUAUAAAAUCCGAAAUAAGCAUCCAACUCUCUUCAAAUUUCACACAUCCCAUUAUUUCUACUAACACAAGAUCCGCUGUGAAGAUGGGAUUUAUCGGUGUACUGCUUCUGGUACCUCUCCCACAAGGGGUCAAAAUUUUGAAUAUUCUUAAAGCUCCUAAAACGCGAAAUUAACAUUCGAUUCCAUUCAGACUUGGCAAAUCUCAAUAUUUCGACUAACACAAGAUCUGUUAUAAAGAUGGUAGAGAUCGGACCAUUCCUUCUGGUACCUCCCCCACAAAGGGUCAACGUUUUGAAAGCCCAAAAACGAUUAUAAAAUCCGAAAUAAGCAUCCGAUUCUCUUCGUAUUUCAUACUUCACAUCAUUUCUAUUAGCACAAGAUGUGCUGCGAAAAUGGGAUCCAUCGGUCCACACCUUCUAGUACCACCCCCACAGAGGGCCAAAGUUUCAAAUAACAAAACUGAUUAUUAAAUCCGAAAUAAGCAUCUGGUUCUCCUCAAAUUUCGCACUUCCCAUUAUUUCUACUAACACAAGAUCUGCUGUGAAGAUGGGAUAUAUCGGUCCACUCCUUUUGGUACCUCCCCCACAGAUGGUCAAAAAUUUGAAUAUCCUUACAGCUCCUAAAACGCGAAAUUAACAUCGAUGAUAUAUAUCUGCGAACCCCUUCUGGUACCUCACCCACAAAGGGUCCCCAUUUUUAAAUACUUUUAUCUGUCAUAAUUUGCGAAAUAGGCCAGCGAUUCUUUACAACUUCCUAUAUCUUAAUAUUUCUCAACCAGAAUCCUGAGAUACAUAUGGAAUUUUGAAUUUCGCAUAAACUUGAAUAUAAAUUUUCGAUUUUCUUGUAAUUUUGCCCAACCAAUAUUUUUAUCUGCAUUAGAUGAAGUAUGAAAAUGGAAUACUUCGGUCGACUAUAACUGGAACCUCAAGCAAAUUUCAAUCAACUAUUCGAAUAAUCAUAACAGAAGUCAAAAUAUAUUUAAAUAAUUGAACAUUUUUCUUUAAUUUUAAAUUGAAAUUCAAAAUUUAAUUUUUUUUCUUUUGUCAUGGAAAAAUUAACCCUUUAUAUGGGUCACAACCCACAACCUGGCUAUACUGAAAGGCCCACAACCAUAACACGUGUAGCACAUUAAUCAAGCGUCAUCUGCCUGUAGCAUUUGGCGACCUUUCAUUUUCGGUUGGUAGUAUAAUUUAAAGCAAAUUUACACAUUUAUAUAUCCAUUAAUAAAUAUUCAUACAUAUGUAUAUACUAUUGAUUUAAUAAAGCUAUCCGUUUGAUAUGUGAGAAAUUAAA